GGGGAGAUGCCAGAGUGGUCGAAUGGGGCCGCCUGCUAAGCGGUUAUCGGGGGGUAACCCUCGAUCGCAGGUUCGAAUCCUGUUCUCCCCG
rnacentral:tRNA from 1 species